GUAGCUCAGAUGGUAGAGCACUUGCUUAGCAUGCGGGAGGUUCGGGGAUCGAUAUCCCGUACCUCA